UUUCGACAGCACUAACAGUUUCCGUUUCCGCUUGUUGUUUUACCUGUGACGUCACCCCUCACCCCAUUCUCAUUCUGCAGGAAAAGUACCAUUUUCGUGCGGCCAUUUGUUUGUCAGAUAUUACCAACUCAAGCAUAAAUAGAAGUGUACGUGUGAAAUCAACUAUCCAUCUUCCGAGUCUCUACUGUACACACCUCCCAGAGCGGACACUAAACCGCAAGAGCAGCUCACAAUGGAAGCGCUUUGUUGUCGUCGGCGUUAUCAAUUAAAUGUAAAGCGCGGUGCAGCGCAAACGAAAUGAAAAUGAAAAUGGCAGCCGUGAGAUACGCCACUCACACAGAUACUAUGUACAGAUACUUGUUCGUUCGUAUGUGCUGCACACGUUUACAAAAGUUUGUUAUUAUUAUAUUUGCGAUGAGCGGAAAUGCCAAUUGAAGCUACCUUUAACAAAGCCCCAUGAAGAUGCCAGCCACGGGGUUAACUGCUGAUGGACGGACAGACGGACGGAUGGACAGACUGUGUGCAUGACUCAAGUGUUUUUCAGGGGAGCCAC